GCCAUUUUCCCCAUAAUUUCACUUUACCCCAUAGCCUCUCAAAAUCUCUCUCUCUGUCUGUCUCUCUCUCUCUCCCCCUGCGCUCCUAUACAUAUCAAUUUAUGUGUAAUUAAUUUCCUUUUAACUUUAUUUUUUUAGGGAUUCAGUCUAUAAUGCAGUGUAAAAUUAACUUACAUGUAUAUAGACAUAGAGAUGCAGAAAAGCAAAUCCCUAACCUGCAAUGAAAGUGAAGCUUCAGCCUUUCCAGCUUUCUCCGAGUUUGCUGCUACUCUACUACCUGUGAGGUGGUAGAGAAGGAAGAAGAGAGGCACACAAAAGCAAGGACAGAUAGAGGGGGAGGAAAAAAAAAAGGACUGCUAUCUCGGCAGUCCAGGUGGCACAAUGGGAGUGGACAAAGU
rnacentral:misc_RNA from 1 species